rnacentral:rRNA from 1 species
AUGUGCCCCAGAGCGCACGGCGGCGCCGCGAUGGUGAGAGCGAGAGCGAGCAGUGCUGCUAGCGCGCACUCGUUUGCGGAGGAGGAGUACAUCGACCUGGAUCUCAGCUCCCACGGGGAGUACGAGUUUCGGGUGUGCCGGAGCAAACCGGCGGCGCCCUGCCCGUGCCCGGAUGAGCUUGUCCGGCGGGCCAGGCAGCACAAGGUCGCGCCGAGGCCGGGGGGCAAGCUGCUUGAUGCGGACGCCGGCGCCACAGGCGGCUGCGGCAGAAGGGGCACCGCCACGGUGGCGCCAUUGCAGCACUCCUCGCAUGCUCCACCGCACGCGGAGGGCUCCGGCCGGCGCAGGAAGCCCGGCAAGGCCAUGCAGGCGAGGCUGCAGGCGUCGCGGGCCUUCUUCCGGUCCCUGUUCGCCAGGACCUGGUGCUCCGACGACGGUGCUCGGUCCGGGAGCAGGGCCAGGCAUGACAAGGGCGUCGGUGUCAGCGGCAGGUCGGCAUUUGGGCUGAUCAAGAACAGCUACGUCAGCAGCCCGGCCCCGACGACGCUGAGGAGCAGCAUUGAGCGGGAGAAGCUGAUGGAAGAGGAGGAGCAGGUCCGGCAACGCAAGUCCUUCUCCGGCGUGAUCAAGUGGCGACCGACGACAGCGCCGUCGUCGGCGAGGAGGAACUCGUGCGGGAGCGCCCCGGCCCUGAAGAGGAGCAGCAGCUGCCGGUCGGAGUCGGAGGGGCUGAUCCAGGGCGCCAUCGCCUACUGCAAGCGGUCGCAGCAGCAGCGCGUGCUCCUCGCCAGGAAGAGCGUCAGCGACGCCGCCCUCUGCUCCUUCCCUGCCCUUUCCUAG